GACGAACGCUGGCGGCGUGCUUAACACAUGCAAGUCGAACGCUGAAGACCUGGCUUUUGUUGGGUUGGAUGAGUGGCGAACGGGUGAGUAACACGUGAGUAACCUGCCCUCUUCUUUGGGAUAACGCCCGGAAACGGGUGCUAAUACUGGAUAUUCACUGAUCUUCGCAUGGGGGUUGGUGGAAAGGUUUGUUCUGGUGGGGGAUGGGCUCGCGGCCUAUCAGCUUGUUGGUGGGGUGAUGGCCUACCAAGGCUUUGACGGGUAGCCGGCCUGAGAGGGUGACCGGUCACAUUGGGACUGAGAUACGGCCCAGACUCCUACGGGAGGCAGCAGUGGGGAAGAUUGCACAAUGGGCGAAAGCCUGAUGCAGCGACGCCGCGUGAGGGAUGGAGGCCUUCGGGUUGUAAACCUCUUUCGCUCAUGGUCAAGCCGCAACUGUGGGUUGUGGUGAGGGUAGUGGGUAAAGAAGCGCCGGCUAACUACGUG
rnacentral:rRNA from 1 species